UACGUAGGGGGCUAGCGUUGUCCGGAAUCAUUGGGCGUAAAGAGCGUGUAGGCGGCCCGGUAAGUCCGCUGUAAAAGUCAAAGGCUCAACCUUUGAAUGUCAGUGGAUACUGCCGGGCUAGAGUCCGGAAGAGGCGAGUGGAACUCCUGGUGUAGCGGUGGAAUGCGCAGAUAUCAGGAAGAACACCCAGUGGCGAAGGCGGGCUCUGGUCGG
rnacentral:rRNA from 1 species